CGGGGGGUGCGAGCGUUGUCCGGAAUCACUGGGCGUAAAGGGCGCGUAGGUGGCCUGAUAAGGGUGUGGUGAAAGUCCGGGGCUCAACCCCGGAUCUGCCGUGCCGACUGUUGGGCUGGAGUACUGUAGGGGCAGGCGGAAUUCCGGGUGUAGCGGUGGAAUGCGUAGAGAUCCGGAGGAAGACCGGUGGCGAAGGCGGCCUGCUGGGCAGUUACUGACACUGAGGCGCGACAGCGUGGGGAGCAAACAGGAUUAGAUACCCUGGUAGUCCACGCCGUAAACGAUGGGUACUAGGUGCCUGGGGGAGCGACCCCUUGGGUGCCGGCGCUAACGCAGGAAGUACCCCGCCUGGGGAGUACGGCCGCAAGGCUG
rnacentral:rRNA from 1 species